rnacentral:rRNA from 1 species
GAUGAACGCUGGCGGCGUGCUUAACACAUGCAAGUCGAACGGAAAGGCCGAAGCUUGCUUCGGUACUCGAGUGACGAACGGGUGAGUAACACGUGGGUGAUCUGCCCUGUACUUCGGGAUAAGCUUGGGAAACUGGGUCUAAUACCGGAUAUGACGAUCUCUUGGAUGGGGUUGUGGAAAGCUUUUGCGGUAUGGGAUGAGCUCGCGGCCUAUCAGCUUGUUGGUGGGGUAAUGGCCUACCAAGGCGUCGACGGGUAGCCGGCCUGAGAGGGUGUACGGCCACAUUGGGACUGAGAUACGGCCCAGACUCCUACGGGAGGCAGCAGUGGGGAAUAUUGCACAAUGGGCGCAAGCCUGAUGCAGCGACGCCGCGUGGGGGAUGACGGCCUUCGGGUUGUAAACUCCUUUCGCAAUCGACGAAGCCUUUUGGUGACGGUAGGUUGAGAAGAAGCACCGGCUAACUACGUG